rnacentral:lncRNA from 1 species
AUAUUUCAGGCGUAUCAAUUCAAAAGUCAGGAAAAGAAUCAAAUCUUGACAUAAUGUUUUCUACCUCUUUGCACAAAAAAAGACGGAGAUGAAGAAAUUGGUGUGUCUUGAUUUCGUCCAACUCCUUACCUAAUACCACCAGGGAGUCCUCAUUCCUGGUUAAACAUACCAAAUCAAAAAUCAACUAUUACCAAAUUCAAUUACAAUAUUAAGAAAGAAACACUAAAAAAUAUUGCAUAUUAUCAACUGAAAACAUGAACUACCAACAUCAUUUUCAACAUAGCCACAAAAAAUGUUUACCUUAUCAAAAACCAAAAUAAAAUAAAAUUUUGAAGUAGGUUAGAUAUUGAUACAUUAAUAGGCUCAUAAAGUGAUAAAUUAUACUCUAAUUUUUAUCAAGAAUGAGAAGUUUUUCCAACUAUUAGCAACAACUACUAUGAAUCUAUUAUCACUAACAACUUAGCAUUAACUAAUUUACUUGUGGUGCAAAAGAGAAAAUGACCACACCUCAUUACAAAACUAAACUGACUCAUAAGACUAUUGUAUUUUUGUGGACUAAUGAGUGUGAGGUGAUAUUCUAAAAGCUCAAGGAUUUAUUGACCGUAUGUCACGCCCCAAAAUAGGGGGCGUAAUUGGCACUCGAUACCUAUUCGAUCGAGUUACCCACUAAAACAUACUAGCUAACCAAACUGUGAGACAAAAAGAUUGGGCAGCAUAACCUCUAAAAAGUGAAGCCUGGAUCCUGAAGGUCAUGACCUAAAUGAGAAUAAACCAUACAAACAAUGGUAGACAAGCCAAAAAAAUAAAGAUGUACUAGUUAGCCGACGAGGCCACAACUGAAGACAUACCUACUUACACACACAUAUAUAUACAUGCCAAGUGUAUGGGCUGGAGAAUGAAACUUACAAAAUAAAACCGAGAAUAUUGUGUCCACAAUAGCCACUAUGAGUGACAUAAGAAUUGUCGGUACAAGGCCCCGACUAUACCCAAACUGUACAACAAAAGUAAACAUCUAUCCCUAUGAUAAGAUGGAGCUUACCAACUCACAACUGAACCCGAAUCCUAGCGGGUGGGUUGAUCAGAAUCCCUGCCUGAACCUGCUCGCACAAAACAAAAGUAGUGUCCCUAGGCAAUGGGAUGUCAGUACGAAUAAAAUUAUACUGGUAUGUAAAGCGGAAAGUAGAAUCAUAGAUAGUUACUGUAAAAGGGUAAUAGAGAUACCACCUGAAACUGAAACUCAAAUAAUCUCCAUGGUUGACAUUUGGCCUCCUACUAUUUAAAUAUGCAUGGUGUGCUCAUAUAAUCAUAUGUCAUGAAUAUAUAUAUAGAUAUAUAUAUGCAAAUGAUGACAUACCCAACCAAAUGCUAGCAAUGGUGGUGCCUCUCGGUAGUGAACCAACAUCAUAUUCGCCAACCUGUGGCCAUCAGUGUCUUAUAUGUAUAAAUAUAGGCAAUAGGCCCCAUACCUCCUGAAUAUAGCUUGGGAGUAGAAUGCAUAGCAUGUCAUUUCAUGGAUUUGUAACACAUAUACCGUUGUCUUGUUGCCAAUCUUGGCCCAUUUGUAGUCUUGUUCUCAUAACCCCAUAAUAACUUUCGUAUGACAUGCAACCAUCUCAUGGAACCUCAUAUGUUCUUCCAAAUAAGCUUGAAAACUUAACUCGAAUUUUAGAAAACAAGUUUAAGGUGAUUUAUAUAGUUCCUAUACUUGGUUCUGAGAUAGUAUAUAAAAGAAGUAUUUCAAAAAUCAAGUAUCCUAAUAGUUUAAGCAUUUAAGUUAUAUUUGAGAGUUUGGAAGAUCGUGAGUUACUUUAAAGAUUUUUCAUAAUAACUUUAGUGGGGAAAGAGGGGGGGUUACAUAUAAUAAGGGUCUCCCGUAAUAUUUUAAGUCACAUUACCCAAAGAAGAAUAUGAAUUCAUACAUGCGGACAUACAAUCAAGGAAACCGAUAAAAUGACAUGUAGAUGUCUAAUACUCUAUUUAUCCAAACGAGUGGAAUAUCAAAAUAAUAGAAUCAUGAAAAUAAUUCAGCUGGGAUCCCAAUGCCUUUCACAGAAGGUCUUUCUAGAAAGAGAAUAGCAAAAUAUCACAUUCGGCGUUUUAGGAAUUUUCCUGGAGUGGUGCUAAAAUGAAAGACAUAGCUUAGCCUCAACAUACCUUUCCAAUGAACGCUCGAAUGCCCGUGGUUUCUUCACGAAAAUUGUUCCUUACGUCCUAAGCUUCACAAACACUAUAUGUCUACAACUGGUACACACCUAUAAACAAUUCAUAAUUGAGCUUAUAUCGGCAGAUUUGCCAUAUGGCCCCAACUUUAUGAAACGUCCGUAGAACUUCAUAAAACAAUCAUAAAAGAGUCCCGAGAUGAUUACCUUAGCAAACCAAGUGUAAACCUUGAAGAAACACCAAUAGCUACCAAUUUAUAUCUUCAAAAACUAGCUCCAAACGCGGUUUAUACAAGAGGAAAAUGAUUUUACCGUGUAGAGAUCACGUUUCUAGGCACAGUGGCAACCUUUAAUGGUAGAAAUCGUCAAAAACUAACCUUCAUCGUGCAAGAACACCAUUAGAACCCUCUCUUCGGCUUUCUUUCUGUUUAGGUAGUGAAAAUAAAUGUUUUUAUGGCUUAAAAUGUCGAGUAAGCUGACAUACCAUAUUUUUGACCCGACCCGACCCAACCCGAAUCGCAACCUGGAUUCUACCCUGGCAGUCCGCAGUGAAACCCUCAUAACUUUUUACUACGUAGUCGAUUAGAUACGCGGUUUUAUGCGUUGCAAACUAGACUUGUAGGCAUUCAAUUUGAUAGGUCAUGGGCCUUAUAACUCUUUAUAUAUUGGAAGAAAACAUCCAAGAUAUUUGACCCAAAGUUAUGAAAAUAUUAUUAGAGAAACUUCGAUAACUUUUACCGCCCUUAGUUUCUCUAAUUUUCUUGACCUCAAAACUUGAAAUACGACCAUUGUGCUAUUAUAAUACCUCAUAACACACUAUUCUUAGUAUUUUAGACACUCACAGGCUUAUCCCCAAGGUAUGGGAUAAUUUAAACCUUUCAAACAAACGAAGUUCUACCCGAGCCAUUUCUAUAAUCUUGAACUUUGUUUGAGGGGUCUCUUUAACCUAAAACCUUAGUUUAGUUCCUUGAUAUUUCCACCCAAUUGCAAUCUUAAUAUCCAAUGUAUGAUACCAAGUCAUAUACACCUCAUAUAACCAUGCUAUACUACGCCACAUAUAUUAUGCAAGAAUAGAGAAAAAAUUACGGAAUCUUACACUUCAACACCUAUCUUGGCAUUACCUGAGGAUGGUGUAGCAUUUGUGGUAUUCUGUGUUGCUUCAGAUGUUAGUCUACGUGUAGUAUUAAUGCAAAAGGGGAGAGUUAUAGCCUAUGCUUCUUGUCAGCUGAAGGUACAUGAGAAUAACUACCCUACUCAUAAUUUUGAGUUAGCCGCAGUGGUCCUCGUUUUGAAGUUAUGGAGACAUUAUCUCUAUGGUGUCCAUUGUGAGAUCUUUAGCGAUCAUCGUAGCCUUAAGUAUCUCUUUUCUUAGCCAAAUUUGAACUUGAGGCAGUGUAGAUGGUUGUAAUUGUUGAAAGACUAUGAUAUCACCAUUGUUUAUCAUUUGGACAAGGCAAACGUGGUAACAUAUGCUUUAUUUCAGAGUGGGUAGCUUAGUUUUUCUUAAGGCGGAGUAGAGACCUUUGGCCUUGGAAGUUUAGUCAUUGGAUAGACACUUGGUUCGACUUGAUAUUUCUACACCUCACCAUGUUUUAGCCUUUGUUGAGGCUAGGUCUACUUUGAUGGAUCAGAUUCGUGCCCACCAGUUUGAGGAUGACAAGUUGUGAGUGAUUCAAGACAAAGUAUGGUGAAGCUAAGUCGGCUUCUCUUUAUCUCGAGGGAGUUUUGAGGAUUUCUGGUCAUAUUUGUGUGCCUAGAGUGGGUGGUUGGGUGUAUGAUAUUGGAAGAGGCUCAUUGUUCUAAAAACUCUAUUCACCCGGGAGCGGCUAAGAUGUAUCAUGAUUUGAAGCAACACUAUUUGUGGUAUGGUAUGAAGAGACACAUUGAGGACUUUUUGGCCAAGUGUUUGAACUGUCAGCAAGUGAAGUAUGAACAUCAAAGAACGGGUGAUACUAAGGCUGGACACCGGAUCGGGUUGUACUGAUACCUUUUCGGUCCAUUCCAGUUACUGUUCCGGUACGAUAGUAUUCGUGAGAGACUGGGAUACAUUGAACCGAUACUCGGAAUGAGACGAUUGUCACACCCUAACACUAGGUGAGACGGGCAAGUACCAUAUGAACAUAUGCUUUAAAAGUGACCUAUGAUAAGAAAGUAAACUACUAUGUAGAUAGAUUUACUGAUGAAAAGCUUCAUAUACAACACAUGUUGACUAGCAGAACUGAUACAUAUGACAAGUGAAACUAUGAAUAUAGAUGGUAGCUUUACAAUGUCUACAAAGAGUCUACUAGAAUCCAUGACUGUACCACUCUGAAAAUAUGUAUAGUAAAGACUCAACGAAUCCCCGAAUCAACCUGGAGCUCACCAACAACCACUAAGUAUCAUGUUCUUCUUUUGGGGAGAUCUACUAGUUGAGUAUCUACACCUGCAGCAUGAAAUGCAGCGUCCACAAUAAGGGACGUCAGUACGAAAGAAUGUACUAAAUAUGUAAGGCAUAAUACAACUAUAUGUAAAAUGAGAACUCAAGUGAAACCAAAUACCAAUAAAUAAGGAUUAGAGACCACCUUUGCUUAUACUCGUGGAAUCAUGUAUAUUAUAUUAUUUUCUUUACUUUUCUAUGGAUUAUAAUAUUUAUAAGACAUAUAAUACAAAUGACCAGCUGAUCAGCGGUAGAAUAGGAUGACUGAUGCUAGGCAUUUUAACCCCUGGGAUGCUAUCCUCAUAAUUCUAUAAAUUGGGAUCGGCCCAUGCUAGGCUUUCCCCCUUGAGCUGCUACCCUUCCAUACAAAUUGGGAUCGACCCAUGCUAGGUUUUCACCCCUGUGCUGCCACCCUUCUAUACCAAUAGGGAUCGACCCAUGCAAGGCAUUUUCCCCUGGGCUGCCACCCAUAAUUAUACAGAUGGCUUCACUUAAAUCCUUUAUCUUUGAGAUUGUUGUUUUGAUGUUCAUAACUCUUUUGAGAUUGUUGUUUUGAUGAUCAAAACUCUUUUGAGAUUGCUGUUUUGGUGGUUAUAAUAAUUGUUGAGAUUUCGAACUAUGAACCACUAGUAGAAGACAUGUGAAUAUAGACUUACGAUAAUAACAAUGACAUGAGAACAAAAUGUGACACCAACGUAAUACUUAGGAGCUUAUAUGACUCAGUAAGCAUUCUGACAUCUCAAAUUGAAGCACAUAUCAAGUGAAGACAUUUAACAUUCAGCCAAGAGAUUUGAACUCUAUAUGGUAGUCGAAUACUCACUAACUAAUAUCAAAUACAAGGUAUACAUGAAAGCGGAACCAAGGGAGAACGUGGGCAGAUUCAACUUAAGGACGGAUACGUAUUCGAAGUAAGUACAUAUAAAAUGUACAAUAGAGAAAGUAAGGAUCUUGUGAGGUAACAUUAUAGUCUAACACAAUGGGAGUAAUAACCAAUAAAGGGAACAUAUAAAAUUAUGACAAGAUGACAUAUAUAUAGACAAUUGAAGCAAGUUUGCAUGAUAUGGGAAGAUUGUAUAUCCAACAUAUAAACAUAUGUACCAUGUGUAAUCUAGGCUCAUUCUGAUUUAUAUAAGGGAUAUACGUGCCAAGGGUACUCUGACGAUGAACCAAGUUUAAACCUUGCAUGCUAAUAAUUGGUAGAGUAAACACAUAUAUUUAGUAAUAAACUCAUAUUAGAGUACUCAUUUUAAUGUUCUAGGGAGUAGGAACUGCAACUAUGGAUCAGUCACAACCAAGGACACUUAGAAAGCUUACUUUCGGAUACGUAUUCGAAGUAAGUACAUAUAAAAUGUACAAUAGAGAAAGUAAGGAUCUUGUGAGGUAACAUUAUAGUCUAACACAAUGGGAGUAAUAACCAAUAAAGGGAACAUAUAAAAUUAUGACAAGAUGACAUAUAUAUAGACAAUUGAAGCAAGUUUGCAUGAUAUGGGAAGAUUGUAUAUCCAACAUAUAAACAUAUGUACCAUGUGUAAUCUAGGCUCAUUCUGAUUUAUAUAAGGGAUAUACGUGCCAAGGGUACUCUGACGAUGAACCAAGUUUAAACCUUGCAUGCUAAUAAUUGGUAGAGUAAACACAUAUAUUUAGUAAUAAACUCAUAUUAGAGUACUCAUUUUAAUGUUCUAGGGAGUAGGAACUGCAACUAUGGAUCAGUCACUACCAAGGGCACAUAGAAAUCUUACUUUGUAAUACAAGUGUUGGAUUCAUGCUAAAGAAAGAGGAAAUCGAAUAGCCUUACAUACUGAUAUACCGUGAGUUUACGGUAUUUCUAAUACAUGUCACUUUCAAGUUGUGUGUGUCUAGGGACUUUUUAUAUUGGUUUUUAUGUGUUUUGAUCAUAUUUUGCAGGAAAGAUGUUCAGGCGCGGAAGUAUAGAGACAGCUGAAAGAAAUGCAGAAAAAGGGCAUUCACGGAGGUGAUCUAUGGACCGUAGUUCCAUUUAUGGUCUGUAGGUGAUGAUCGUAGAUCAGCAGGAACGGUAUGGAAGACAAAUCAGGGAAAUCUGACAAAGUGUGGAACCACGGUGGCCAUUGACGGUCCGUAGAUUAAUCUACGGACCGUAUUGUUGAUCCGUAGAUUGAUACUGCGAGGGUUCCAGUACCUGAUUUUUGAAGAUUCUAAGUGUGGAGCUACGGAGGGGAUUGACGGACCGUAGAUCGAUCUACGGUCUGUCCUGCUAGUCCGUUGUUUGCUUCAGAGAAGCUGAUUUUUGGAAGCUGAAAUAUUUUCUAAGUCCUGGCUGACGGAAGGGACUUACGGACCGUAGAUCCAUCGACGGUCCGUAAGUCAGUCUCGUGGAAUGAAGACGCGUACCUGAACAAACUUUCCUUAAUUUGUUUUCCUUUUUAUUUAGGUUUUUGUUUUAUAUAAAUAGGGCAUGUAAACCUAAUUUUUGUGGGUUAGACAUUAUUAUUCUAGUUUUACUUUGUGACUGGGGAGAUCAAUUGGAAAACCUAACAAUUAUUGAUUUCCUAAGUUCGUUUUGAAGAUUUUGGCUGUGCAAUUCAAGUUGAAUUUCUGGGUUUAUUAUUCUCUUUACGUAAGUUCAUGAUUUCUUCAUCUACAAUUAUGAAUUGUGUUCUUGCCAAUAUGAGUAACUAAAUUCACAACUAGGGUUGUGGGAACCAUGAUCGAUUAACAAAGUAUGAAUAGUAAAUAAGCAAUUCUUAAAUAGUGUUUUGCNNNNNNNNNNNNNNNNNNNNNNNNNNNNNNNNNNNNNNNNNNNNNNNNNNNNNNNNNNNNNNNNNNNNNNNNNNNNNNNNNNNNNNNNNNNNNNNNNNNNNNNNNNNNNNNNNNNNNNNNNNNNNNNNNNNNNNNNNNNNNNNNNNNNNNNNNNNNNNNNNNNNNNAUUACUAGAAUUACUGCGUUAUGAGCUUGUGGUGAACACGUAUACCCUAGUUAAUUUUCUCAUCUUGAUAACAACCGAAAUUGACUUUUGUUUAUUGAUUACUUACUGAAUUCUUACAAUUUGUUUCACAAAUUCCCCCUUUUAUUUCUUGUUUCUGGAAGUACUUUGGCUAAUUGAAUAUAAUUGUUGGUUAAAGUAAAGUCUAAACCAUUUUCCUCGUGGGAUCGACCCCAACCUACAAUUUGGGUUCUUUACUUGAUAACGAUCACUUAUACUUCUUUAAGGAGGUGUAAUUUGACCGUAUCACAUACCCUGCUAUACAAUUCAAAAUGUAUGACUUAAGCUCCUUCUCUUCAGAUUACUAAUCUACAAUCAAAUAAGUUGUAAGACUAGUAUUAGUAGCUUAUAAAUCAAUUUGAUCUACUUGAUCUCACCCAAAUAGUAAUGAAGCAGUAAGCAUGCAAUUUAUCUAGAUAGUGUUUUCUUUCCUUCCCUUUCCCUUUAAUCGCGUAUAUAUACUGUACAACCUUCGUAUCAGGUCCUCCUAAAAAAUCACUGCAAUAUUUAAGUCCUUUAAGGUCUCCAAAACUUCCCCGCACAUCUAGUCACAUCCCUUAUCAUUACAUACAUAAAACAAUGUAACAUAUGCAAUAUGAAUCAUGGUUUCUGAUCACUAGAACUUGAAAAGCUAACAUUACUUUUAAAUAAAGUGCUCAAACAAGCUCAUAACUGAAUUUAAAGAGGACUCCCCUCCAUGGCUGUCCCAAAAUCCACUAAUCACAAGAACAUCCUCCCCAAUAUUACACCAUGUAAAAGUAACAAUUUCCAACUCACUAACAUAUACCAAGUGUCCUAAUUAACUCAAGUACAAGAGGGAGAAAAUUGCAGUAGCUUACCUUGCUGGACAGAACUACCACUUGCUAAGACUUGGAUUCUUCAAGGUAAAGGUUGUCCUCCUUAACUUGUCUUAAAUUAUUCCUUCCAAUAACUUGAACUCCAUGAUAUUCAAGAACCCUAAUGGUAUUCAAUGGAUGUUGUAUGAAGCUAAGAGAGAAAGCUCUAGAAAUCAAAUUUUUUUGUUAAAGGAAAAAAUGUUGGAAAAAGGUGAUAUCAAUCCCUUUUAAAGAGACCUUCUUUGGCCGACUUUCUCACUCAUUUUGGGCCAUAAUUUGUCAAGUAGGUGACCCAUCUACUUGGACUUUUCACUUGGCCCUAUUUGGACUUAAGAACAUUGGGACUUGGAUGUCCAUUUCCCUUUAUUUUUCUACUCAACUUGGGCCAGAUUUAUGCAUGUAGGUGAUAGUGUACUUGGCCCAAUAACAUGGUCAAAAGAGUCUUAGAAGGUGAUGCACCAACUUGGUCCUUUGGGCUGGUCAAUAAGUCAAAGUAGGUGAUGAAGCUACUUGGUCCUUUGGGCUGUUCAAUAAGUCAAAGUAGGUGAUGCACCUACUUGUCACCUACUAUCUUAGUGUAGUCAAGCAAGCACCUCAAUUGUACUACUAUUGAUGAAUUACUGCAGACAUAUAUUAAAUGAAUCCUGCAGUAGCUCUAUUCGAUUUGAUGGAAGUUUAUACAUGUGAAUAAUGCUCUACUUCUAUUUUGUACUAAUGAUGUAGAUGAACUAGGUCCAUGUAUCUUCUAUCUAGGUAACCUUUCUAUUCCUCUCUUUUUUCUUGUUAUUAUCAGGACCAAAUAUCAAGAUUUGAAUCAGUACUAAAAUGAAUUCUCUAUCUAACAAAGGUUCACAAAGUUGUUCCCGGGUGCGCCAUAUUACUCGUUAGGAUUGAAAGAGUUGAUACCAUUUUAUUGCCUCAUACACUUAGCAACCACUCUUUCAUAAUCACCUAUCGCACCCCUCAAUAGCAUCGUCAUAUCACCCCUACUCCUAUGUUUAGGGAAUUUGACAUAUCCCAUAUCUUUCUAACGAGAAGCUCUACGUACAUAUUCGACCCGUGUAAUUCAAGCUUCAUUCUCACAUGCUUCCUAUCUAACAAGUACCUUUUAAUCAAAACUAGUAGCUUCAUGUUCUCUAAUCCCACUAUGUACAACCUGACUAAUCACAACUUAGGUCUAACCAAUCAAUUUUCCUUUUGUUAACCUUACACUUUAGUCACGUACUAAUCCUCCAUAGCCAAAACAUAGAUCAUAAUAGGAACUACCAUACAUAUAUCAUUUGCAGAAAUUGGCACACUUAUCUGUAAGUUUUAUAACCAUGAAAAAAAUACAAAUAUUAUUGGUACUUAUUUGGGGUUGUUGGCACAUACCAUAUAAAAGCCAAAUAUUAACAUAUUCAGGAUCAUAUAUAUGAUAAUUUGGGCCUUGUCAACCAAUUAGGGGUAUCUCUAGUAACAUUAUUGCACUGAUACUUCCACCUAUCAGAUUGUGCCACUGCCUUCUUCCAACUUAAAGAAACUUGUUCAAUAACAUCAAUUUUGAGAACAUGUGUAAUGCUGAAAAUUAUAUGUAUAUCACAGACUAAGAACAAGUGUCCUCUAUAGGAAUAGAUCCUAUAAAUAUGGAGGAAAUAUAGAACUCAAGAGUUGGAUACAUCCUCCUAAGAAGAUGUGCUUAGAAAUGGCUCAAAAAUGUAACUAUGUAACCUAUAAUUUUUUAAGCAUAUGGAUAACCAUACUAUAUCUUUCUCAAUCGAACAAACGUGAUACAAAUGCAACUUAAAAUGCAAAUAACAUAAAAGGCUUUACAUACCUUGUGGAGUGGGACGGUCAAAUAAAAUGAGCUUAAUCUAUUCUAAAUUUUGAUAACUUCAGAUCCUUUUCUUUAGGUUGCAAAUUGACAUUUUAGCUACCAUUAACCUUAACCAUCGUAAUCAUAAUAUGAAUAGCAUGAUCAGGUACAAGUGGAAAUUGACUUCUUAAUUUCGCUGUAUCACACGAUCUGGAUUAUGAAGGAAGGUAACUUUUAAUAUAUGUCCAAGCAACCCCCUAAUUAUAAAGGUGGCGCGCAACACAUUCAUAAGUAAGGUUCUACUAGACAUGGCUUUGUAGACUCCCUAGGACGAAUUGCUCUGAUACCACUUUUGUCACACUUCAACCCUAGGUGAGACAAACAAGUACCAUAUGAACACUUGUUUUAAAAGUGACCUAUGAUGAGAAAGUAAACUACUAUGCAGAUAGAUUUACUAAUGAGAAGCUUCAUAUACAACACAUGUUGACUAACUGAACGGAUACAUGUGACAAGUAAAACUAUGAAUAUAGAUGAUAUAUUUACAAUGUCUACAAAGGCUCUACUGGAAUCCAUGACUGUACCACUAUGAAAAUACACAUAGUAAAGACACAGCAAAGACCCGAAUCAACCUGGAGCUCACCAACAAUCGCUGAGUAUCAUGUGCUUUUUUUGGGGAGAUCUACUAGUUGAGUACCUGUACAUGUAGCAUGAAAUGCAGCGUCCCCAAUAAGGGACGUCAGUACGAAAGAAUGUACUAAAUAUGUAAGGCAUAAUACAACCAUAUGUAAAAUGAAAGCUUAAGUGAAACAAAAUACCAAUAGAAAAGGAUUAGAGACCAUAUUUGCUUAUACUUGUGGAAUCGUGUAUGUUACAUUCUUUUCUUUAGUUUUCUGUGCAUUAUAAUAUUUAUAAGACAUAUAAUACAAAUGAACAGCUGAUCAGUGGUAGAAGAGGAUGACCCAUGCUAGGCAUUUUAAACCCUGUGAUGUUGUCCUCAUAAUUCCAUAAAUUGGGAUCGGCCUAUGCUAGGCUUUCCCCUCUGAGAUGCCACCCUUACAUACCAAUUGGGAUCGGCCCAUGCUAGGCUUUCACCGCUGAGCUGCCACCCUUCUAUACCAAUUGGGAUCGACCCAUACUAGGCAUUUUCCCCAGGGCUGCCACCCAUAAUUAUACAAAUAGCUUCACUUAAAACCUUUAUCUUUGAGAUUGUUGUUUUGAUGUUCAUAACUCUUUUGAGAUUAUUCCUUUGAUGAUCAUAACUCUUUUGAGAUUGCUGUUUAGGUGGUCAUAAUAAUUGUUGAGAUUCGGAACUAUGAACCACUAGUAGAAGACUUGUGAAUAUAGACUUACGAUAAUAAUAAUGACAUGGGAAGCAAAUGUGACUCCAACGUAAUACUUAGGAGCUUAUAUGACUCAGUAUGCAUUUUGACAUCUCAGAUUGAAGCACAUAUCAAGUGAAGAUAUUUAACAUUCAGCCAAGAUAUUUGAACUCUAUAUGGUAGCCGAAUACUCACUAACUAAUAUCAAAUACAAGGUAUACAUGAAAGUGGAACCAAGGGAGAACGUGGGCAGAUUCAACUUAAGGACGGAUACAUAUUCCAAGUAAUUACAUAUAAAUGUACAAUAGAGUAAGUAAGGAUCUUGUGAGGUAACAUUAUAGUCUAACACAAUGGGAGUAAUAACCAAUAAAAGGAACAUAUGAACAUGUGACAAAAUGACAUAUAUAUAGAAAAUUGAAGCAAGUUGGCAUGAUAUGGGCAGAUUGUAUAUCCAACAUAUAAACAUAUGUACCAUGUGUAAUAUAGGAUCAUUUUGAUUUAUAUAAGGAAAAUACGUGCCAGAGUAAUUUGAUGAUGAAACAAGUUUAAACCUUGCAUGCUAAUACUUGGUAGAGUAGGCACAUACAUUUAGUAAUAAACUCAUAUUAGAGUACUCACUUUAAUGCUCUAGGGAGUAGGAACUGCAACUAUGGAUGAGUCACUACCAAGGGCACUUAGAUAACUUACUUUGUAAUACAAGUGUUGGAUUCAUGCCAAAGAAAUAGGAAAUCGAAUAGCGUUACAUACCUUGUUAUACAAUUCAAAACGUAUAACUUAAGCUCCUUUUCUUCAGAUUACUAAUCUACAAUCAAAUAAGUUGUAAGACUAGUAUUAGUAGCUAAUAAAUCAAUUUGAUCUACUUGAUCUCAACCAAAUAGUAACCAAGCAGUAAGCAUGCAAUUUAUCUAGAUAUUGUUUUCUUUCCUUACCUUUCCCUUUAAUCAUAUAUAUAUACUAUACAACCUUUGUAUCAGGUCCUCCCCAAAACUCCCUGCAAUAUUUAAUACCUUUAGCGUCUCUAUAACAUCCCCACACAUCCAGUCACAUCCCUUAUCAUUACAUAUAUAAAACAAUGUAACAUAUGCAAUAUGAAUCAUGGUUUCUGAUCACCAGAACUUGAAGAGCUAACAUUACUUUUAAAUAAAUUGCUCAAACAAGCUCAUAACUGAAUUUAAAGAGGACUCCCCUCCAUGGCUGUCCCAACAUGAACUAAUCACAAGAACAUCCUCCCCAAUAUUACACCAUGUAAAGGCAACAUUUUCCAACUCACUAACACAUACCAAUUGUCCUAAUUAACUCAAGUACAAGAGGGAGAAAAUUGCAGUAGCUUACAUUGCUGGACAGAACUACCACUUGCUAAGACUUGGAUUCUUCAAGGUAAAGGUUGUCCUCCUUUACUUGUCUUAAAUUAUUCCUUCCAAUAACUUGAACUCCAUGAUAUUCAAGAACCCUAAUGGUAUUCAAUGGAUGUUGUAUGAUGCUAAGAGAGAGAAGAGACAAAGCUCUAGAAAUAAGAUUUUUUUGUCAAAGUAAAAAUUGUUGGAAAAAGGUGAUAUCAAUCCCGUUUAAAGGGACAUUUUUUGCCGACUUUCUCACUCAUUUUGGGUCAUAAUUUGUCAAGUAGGUGACCCACCUACUUGGGCUUUUCACUUGGGACUUUUUGGACUUAAGAACAUUAGGCAUUGGCUGUCCAUUUUCCCCUUAUUCUUCUACUCAACUUGGGCCAGAUUUAUGCAAGUAGGUGAUAGUGUAAUUGGCCCAAUAACAUGGUAAAAAGAGUCUUAGUAGGUGAUGCACCUACUUGGUCCUUUGGGCUGGUCAUUAAGUCAAAGUAGGUAAUGCACCUACUUGGUCCUUUGGGCUGGUCAAUACGUCAAAGUAGGUGAUACACUUACUUGUCACCUACUAUCUUAGUGUAGUCUAGCAAGCACCUCAAUAUUUUUUUCCAUUUCUAGACUCUAAUACGUUUAACUUAACUUAAAACUUAUAUACACUAUGUCACUUUAAACUUUAGACUCAGAUACCACCUUAUGAUCUCAAGUUUAAAUACUUCCAUCGAUGUCAACUUAAUCAGGUCGCAUCAAAAUCUACAGACAGUUCACUUUACACCUAUUCUAUUGUCACUACUCGCAUAGGAAACCGAGUCCAUAAAUCACAAGGCAAAUUAUAAGCGUCAAAUAGAACUAGUACACCUAGAAUACGGGGUGUUACAUCCUCCCUCCUUAUGAUCAUUCGUCCUCGAGUGAUAGGUUAAGUUGAUAGUUUGGUUAACCUUGGAAUUUCAUUUGGAGAUUUACGAGAGUUCCCUUUGUAAAUAGGACUAUCCAAAAUUGAUAGACUAACCUAAAACACGGAUAAACAAGUCUAGCAUGACGUCUCAAUAGAUAUGGGUCAUGAAAUCAUAAUAUGACCAAUUAAACCCCUUCUUCACCAUGUAAUUCACUGAAGAUACACAAGUAGAACUCAUACAAAUAAGGACUUUAAUAUACCUAAACACAAGACAUGCAAAUGACAUAUCAAAUGAACAACUGCUAGUAGGAUUUAUGAUCAUAUAAGGGGACCACAUGAUCUCAGAUCCUUAUGUUGAUGUUUAGAAUGAGGAAGGGUAUUUAGGAUCUCUACCAUCUUCUAUUCCCAAGUAUCUUAUGUUUCUAUUCCUUCCAUAAUAAACCUUUUGAGCUUAGCUUCCGGGCCUUAACAAUCAAGAAUAACUAUAGUAUCUCCCAAUUUUUUUGUAUAUGGAACGAGCAGAUAAAAAUCAUAGGCCUAACUCGUUGGGGCUCUACUUUCCCUUCUCUUUUAUCUCAUGACGCUUUUCAGAGGUAAGUCUUACAAGAAUGCAUAGCUGUUAAUAUAAACUCUAAUGUUUUAUGUCGCACCUUCGAAUAAGGCAUUAUGCUAAGUUAUUUAUCUAUGGUUGUGAUAAAAUUUACAUAUAUGCCCAACCUUUUUUGGUCAAAAGGGAGAGCAUAAUAUACGGGCAUUAAGCUAUAGAAAUAUGUGGUGUACGCACGCAUAUGAACUAUAAGGUAGAGUGUGAGCGAAUGAGCUAUAAGGCAUGUAGGAAAUGGACAUGAUGAGCACAUGAUGCAUGAGUACUAAAGCUACAAAAUAUAUAAUAUGUAAGCAAGUAGACUAUAAGACAUGUAGACAUAAAAGAAAAUGAAUUACAGAACACAAAUAACAUCGAUCAAGUGCGUUAUAUCGCAUGGAUAGGUGGACUAACAUGUUAAUGAGUACACAUGAAAUAUGAGCAAAUGAGCACAUGACACAUGGCCAGAAAAGCUAUAAGGCCUGUAAUGUUUAAGCAAGUAGGCUAAGAGGCAUGUAAAAUAUAUAGAAAUGGUCAUAUGAUCAAUUAGCCUGUAGUACCCACACAAUAUGGACAAGUGACAUGAGGAAAGUAACCAGUGCAAUAGAUAACAUGUAGGGAAAAGGUCCUACGAAAACAUAUAGCAAUAAACAAGGGUGCUCCGAAGCGUAUAACACUUACAUGCACACAUCCUAUGACAUUAGGUAACCUGUGAGAAGGUAAUCCACAAAGGGCAAAUGACAUACAAAUAGAUAAGUUAUAGAACAUGCAUCAUGUAUAAUUAUAUAACAAACUAUCUUUGGAAACUAUGAGAUAUCCUAUAGAACCACUCUUCCAUAUUAAGGGUAAACACAUUGUCUUAAGCGUUAAGUCACGUGCGAGAUAGUUCUGCUCAUAUUCCUUACUCACCUCAAAGCACAUACCAUUGAUUUCCCUAUCUACUCUCUUCAAUCUUCUAAGAAUUCUUAUAGGUGUUCUUCUAUUGGGACUUGGCUUCCAUCUAGGUCAAUAUAAAUACUAUAGUUAAGAUAUAAAAAGAAAAUCUUCAAUAGUUCAUCUUUUGGAGUAGGAGAUCGAGGUCAACUUUGCCUUCGUUACUAGCUUGUGUUAUAUCACAGUCAAUGCCCGGUGCCAUUGAAGGUCGAAAUAGAAAAUAAAUAGCAAAGCGUGAACGCACCAUAAAAUAUAAACUCUAAUAACUUGUAAAUGUCAAGUACCUAUAAAGCUAUAUCAUGAUUCAUAAAAUCUUAUAGUUAGCCUCUUUUGGCUUAACUAGAUAAGUCUGGCCAUACUAAUAGAUUUUUUUAAAAAUAAAAACAAGUGAGGGUGCUCCGACUCUUUUCCCAAGCAAGAUAGUGAAUAAGAACAACUAGCAUAUGAUCAAUUUUUCCUCCCCCCUAUUGGACUAUGAUUGAUGAAUUGCUGCAGGCAUAUACUAAACGAAUCCUGUAGUAGCUCUAUUCAAUUUGAUGGAAGUCUAUACAUGUGAAUAAUGCUCUACUUCUAUUUUGUACUAAUGAGUGUAGAUGAACUAGGUCCAUGUAUCUUCUAUCUAGGUAACCUUUCUAUUCCCCUCUUUUUUCUUGUUUUUAUUAGGACCAAAUAUCAAGACUUGAAUCAAUACUAAAAUGACUUCUCUGUCUAGCAAAAGUUCACAAAGUUGUUCCCGGGUCCGCCAUUAUCACUCGUUAGGAUUGAAUAGUUGAUACCUUUUUAUUGCCUCAUACACUUAGCAACACCUCUUUCAUAAUCACCUAUCUCACUCCUCUAUAGCAUCCUCAUAUCACCCCCUACUCUUAUGUUUAGGGAAUUUGACAUAUCCCAUAUCUUUCUAACNNNNNNNNNNNNNNNNNNNNNNNNNNNNNNNNNNNNNNNNNNNNNNNNNNNNNNNNNNNNNNNNNNNNNNNNNNNNNNNNNNNNNNNNNNNNNNNNNNNNNNNNNNNNNNNNNNNNNNNNNNNNNNNNNNNNNNNNNNNNNNNNNNNNNNNNNNNNNNNNNNNNNNNNNNNNNNNNNNNNNNNNNNNNNNNNNNNNNNNNNNNNUACCCUUUAGUCGCAUACUAAUCCUCCAUAGCCAAAACAUAGAUGAUAAUAGGAACUACCAUACAUAUAUCAUUUGCAGAAAUUGGAACACUUAUCCGUAAGUUUUAUAACCAUGAAAAGAAUACAAAUAUUAUUAGUACUUAUUCGGGGUUGUUGGGACAUACCAUGUAAGAGCCAAAUAUUAACAUAUUCAGGAUGAUAUAUGGUGAGAAUUUGGGCCUUGUCAACCAAUUAGGGGUAUCUCUAGUAACACUAUUGCACUGAUACAUCCACCUAUCAUAUUGUGCCACUGCCUUCUUCCAACUUAAAGAAACUGGUUCAACAACAUCAAUUUCGAGAACAUGUGUAAUGCUGAAAAUUCUAUGUAUAUCACAGACUAAGAACAAGUGUCCUCUAUAGGAAUAGAUCUUAUAUAUAUGGAGGAAAUAUUGAACUCAAGAGUUGAAUACAUCCUCCUAAGAAGAUGUGCUUAGAAGUGGCUCAUAUAUGUAACUACGUAACCCAUCAUUUUUUAAGCAUAUGGAUAACCAUAAUAUAUCUUUCUCAAUUGAACAACCGUGAUACAAAUGGUACAAAUGCAACUUAAAAUGCAAAUAACAUAAAAGCCUUAACAAUACCUUGUGGAGUGGGACGGUCAAAUAAAAUGAGCUUAAUCUAUUCUAAAUUUUGAUAACUUCAGAUCCUUUUCUUUAGGUUGCAUAUUUACAUUUUAGCUAUUGUUAACUUGAACCAUCGUAAGCAAAAUAUGAAUAGCAUGAUCAGGUACAAGUGGAAAUCGACUUCUUAACUUCGCUCUAUCGCACGAUCUGGAUUAUGAAGGAAGGUAACUUUUGCUAAAUCUCCAAGUAGCCUCCUAAUUAUAAAUGUGGCACGCAACACAUUCAUAUGUAAGGUUCUACUAGACACAACUUUGUAGACUCACUAGGAUGAACUGCUCUUAUACCAUUUUUGUCACACCCCAAAACUAGGUGAGGCGGACAAGUGCCAUAUGAACACAUUUUUUAAAAGUGACCUAUUAUGAGAAAGUAAACUACUAUGCAGAAAAAUUUACUAAUGAGAAGCUUCAUAUACAACACAUGUUGGCUAGCUGAACCGAUACAUGUGACAAGUGAAACUAUGAAUACAGAUGAUAUCUUUACAAUGUCUACAAAUCCUCUAUUGGAAUCCAUGACUGUACCAUUAUGAAAAUAUGCAUAUUAAAGACUCGGCAAAUACCCGAAUCAACCUAGAGCUCACCAACAACCGCUGAGUAUCAUGUUCUUCUUUUAGGGAGAUCUACUAGUUGAGUACCUGUACCUGCAGCAUGAAAUGCAGCGUCCCCAAUAAGGGACGUCAGUACGAAAGAAUGUACUAAAUAUGUAAGGCAUAAUACAAUCAUAUGUAAAAUGAAAGCUCAAGUGAAACCACAUACCAAUAGAUAAGGAUUAGAGACCACCUUUGCUUAUACUUGUGGAAUCGUGUAAGUUACAUUCUUUUCUUUACUUUUCUAUGCAUUAUAAUAUUUAUAAGACAUAUAAAACAAAUGAACAGCUGAUCAGCGGUAGAAGAUGAUGACCCAUGCUAGGCAUUUUAACCCCUGGGAUGCUGUCCUAAUAAUUUCACAAAUUGGGAUCGGCCCAUGCUAGACUUUUGCCCCUAAGCUGCCACCCUUCCAUACCAAUUGGGAUUGGCCCAUGGCUUUCACCCCUGAGCUGCCACCCUUCUAUACCAAUUGGGAUCGAUCCAUACUAGGAAUUUUCCCCAGGUUUGCCACCCAUAAUUAUACAAAUAGCUUCACUUAAAACCUUUAUCUUUGAGAUUGUUGUUUUGAUGUUCAUAACUCUUUUGAGAUUGUUCUUUUGAUUUUGGUGGUCAUAAUCAUUGUUGAGAUUUGGAGCUAUGAACCACUAGUAGAAGACUUGUGAAUAUAGACUUACGAUAAUAACAAUGACAUGGGAAGCAAAUGUGACANNNNNNNNNNNNNNNNNNNNNNNNNNNNNNNNNNNNNNNNNNNNNNNNNNNNNNNNNNNNNNNNNNNNNNNNNNNNNNNNNNNNNNNNNNNNNNNNNNNNNNNNNNNNNNNNNNNNNNNNNNNNNNNNNNNNNNNNNNNNNNNNNNNNNNNNNNNNNNNNNNNNNNNNNNNNNNNNNNNNNNNNNNNNNNNNNNNNNNNNNNNNNNNNNNNNNNNNNNNNNNNNNNNNNNNNNNNNNNNNNNNNNNNNNNNNNNNNNNNNNNNNNNNNNNNNNNNNNNNNNNNNNNNNNNNNNNNNNNNNNNNNNNAUAUAUAGAUAAUUGAAGCUAGUUGGCAUGAUAUUGGUAGAUUGUAUAUCCAACAUAUAAACAUAUGUACCAUGUGUAAUCUAGGUUACGUGCAUGCUAAUACUUGGUAGAAUAAGUAAGCACGUACAUUUAGUAAUAAACUCAUAUUAGAGUACUCACUUUAAUGCUAUAGGAAGUAGGAACUGCAUAUAUGGAUCAGUCACUAUCAAGGGCACUUAGAAAUCAUACUUUGUAAUACAAGUGUUGGAUUCAUGCCAAAGAAAUAGGAAAUCAAAUAGCCUUACAUACCUUGCUAUAAAAUUCAAAACGUAUGACUUAAGCUCCUUCUCUUCAGAUUACUAAUCUACAAUAAAAUAAGUUGUAAGACUAGUAUUAGUAGCUAAUCAAUCAAUAUGAUCUACUUGAUCACACCCAAAUAGUAACUAAGCAGUAAACAUGCAAUUUAUCUAGAUAUUGUUUUCUUUCCUUCCCUUUCCCUUUAAUCACGUAUAUAUACUGUACAACCUUCGUAUCAUGUACUCCCCAAAACUCCCUAUAAUAUUUAAGUCCUUUAAUGUCUCUAUAACUUUCCCGCACAUCCAGUCACAUCCCUUAUCAUUACAUACAUAAAACAAUCCUUAAACAUAAUAAUGUAACAGAAGCAUUAUGAAUCAUGGUUUCUGAUCACCAGCACUUGAAGAGCUAACAUUACUUUUAAAUAAAGUGCUCAAACAAGCUCAUAACUGAAUUUAAAGAGGACUCCCCUCCAUGGCUGUCCCAACAUGCACUAAUCACAAGAACAUCCUCCCCGAUAUUACACCAUGUAAAAGUAACAAUUUCCAACUCACUAACACAGUGUCCUAGUUAACUUAAGUACAAGUGGGAGAAAAUUGCAGUAGCUUACCUUGCUGGACAGAACUACCACUUGCUAAGACUUGUAUUCUUCAAGGUAAAGGUUGUCCUCCUUAACUUGUCUUAAAUUAUAUCUUCCAAUAGCUUGAACUCCCUAAUAUUCAAGAACCCUAAUGGUAUUCAAUGGAUGUUGUAUGAAGCUAAUAGAGAGAAGAGAGAAAGCUCUAGAAAUCAGUUUCUGAGCUGAUGAAACAGACGAAAUUCCAUUUCAAAACUUGAAACUCCAGCUUUCUAAAAACCACUUUAACAACUUUAAACCUUUCAAAACUACAACUUUUCUGUCGAAUUUCAAAACUAACUUCAUAAAUUAACCAAACAUGACUCAUGACAACUAUCAAGAGGGAUAAAAAGGUAAUUUUCCAAAGAUUUUAAAAAAUGACCUUUCGGGUCAUUUCAAUUACGGUCAAAUCUCUUUAUAACACUUUCUCUAUAAGAACAAUGAAUGAUAGUUGAUGCGGUUAUAGAGAGGAUGCAAUUUUAUAUAUAUAUAUAAUCACUGAUAUGAAAUCAGGUUCACAAACCUUCUAUAAAUAUCCUAGGCCUUAGCAUUUUAUUCUCAUCACAUUUUACAUAUAGUUGAGCAUUACCUCACUGAAGUUAGUUUAACUAUUUUCUUUAACAAAUUAUAUUUUUUCACAUGAAUUGUUCCUAUACAAAUCAAUUCUCUCUUCAACAACAUCAUUUGUCUAGAUUUUUUUAGCUGCUAUAGAAAAUGUGAAAAUUGAUUCCAAUGAAAAUUGGUCAUUUUUAUGAAUUCACAUUGUUACACAAAGGCGAUUUGUAACAUCAUUUUCCCCUUGAUUGAUUAAUUAUAGAAAUGUACUAGUUUAUAUAUAUAUAUAGAGAGAGAGAGAGAGGGGGAGAGAGAGAGAAACUUCUCUAGAACUACAUAUUUGUCCGAAUAUUGUUUUGCCGGUUAUCAAAAAUGUAAAAAAAAUUCAUGAUAACAAUCAAGUUUUCACUUUUUCUAUAGCUGGAAAAAUAAUAUUUGGACAAAUAUAAAUAUAAUUUGCAAAAGAAAAUAAUUAAACUAACUUCAGUGAGGUGAUACUUAACUCUAUGUAAAAUGUGAUGAAAAUAAAAUGUUAAGCCCUUGGGUAUUUAUACAGGAUAUGUAAAAUUGAAUUUCAUAUGAGUUAUUAAAUAAUCUACCAUAAUAAAUUUAGAUCUUCAAUGUAAGGAAGAAAUAGAAGGAACUUAAUUAUUAUUAUUUUAUAUUUUUUAGAAGGUAAUUGUUGGUUUAAUAAAUAUUUAUUUCCAAUCAAUAUUUUGAGCAAAAUUCAUUUAGACACUCGAACUAUAAUUUAUUCUAAUUGAGGAACUAAACACAUGAUGUAUAAAGUUUAUAGAUGGUCAUAUAAAUAUGAGCUUUUACAACUAAAGUCACUUAACUAUUUUUUUUUAAACACAAAUAUCACAAAUUUUACCCUUACUAACACAAAAUCACACUAGCCCAACUAUCGAUUGGUAGUUUUUUUUUUGUAUACUUUUUAAAUUUAAAAUACAAAUUCAAAUAAAAAACCCAAUCUGAUCUAACCAUAUCCGAUGGAUACUAAUAUUUUAAUUUUUUUUAAUUGUAUAAGACAGUAUGCAAAUAUUUUCUCUUAGGAAGCUCUAUAUUUCAACCCUUUGUCUUACCAAGUCCUCCUUUGACUUGGGCAAUGAAGCUUAAUCCAUGAGGCUACCUGAGUGUCUUAUGAGUUUUACACAUAAUAAGUAUAAAUUUGAGGUCUAAGUUCCACGAUCGAUAAAAUUGAAAGAUGGAUUUGGUAGGUGAGUUACCAGGGAUUCAAUCUCAAGUCCAGAGGUGAGAUUUCCAAGACUAAAUUGUUUGGUAGAAAGAUUGAUAGCACAUGUAUUAAUUUUUAUCAAGUGUUUGAUUCAUUGCUUUCUACCUAAUCAUGUGUUUGGUUCAAAACUCUAUAAAAAACUUCUUUUCAAUUAUACUCUUGAAUUAUUAUGUGAUUUUCUAUUCCAUGUAUAGCAUUAUGAAAUAUUUUCAUGUCCAUUCCAUUGGUGAGCUUUUAUUUAAUUUUCAAGAACUUUUCAAUACACAUAUUCAGAGCCAUUUGGGAACAAGAACAAAAGAAAAGAAGAAAAAAAAGUCCAAACCUUGUUAGAAAAGUAAAUAGUUGGAGGCUAAUAGUGAAGAUGAUCAAUAAUUAAUCCUACACAGUUACACCUUCUCUGUAACACCUCAGAUUCGAGAAAGACUAGAAAAGGGUCAAACAGGAAAGACACAAGCCCAAAGAUGGAUCAUGGAACCCUCCACGUAGCCCUAGAAGGUCCAUGAAGGGGACCAUAGUUCGUUAAUGGGCUCGUUAUGUCUCCCAAAACCUGCCCUAGGCAGGCUUCACCUUGACGGACGCCCAGACGGCCCGUUGUGAUGUUGGCAGCAUGUCAAAUCAGAAGGGGUUCUGCCCUAGUCACUGGUCAAGCACCGCAGACAUCUAAAUGACUCGUGAAACCCCACAUAGACCAUGAAGUCAUCCGUGAAGGGAUUUAUCAGACUUAGAUUUUAGGGCCAACUUCAAACGAUCAUAUAUUUUAGCACAAAAUGAAUUAAGUGGCCCAUGACCUACCAAAUUAAAGAUCACUGAGUCUUCUUUCCAAUGCCACCGAGUUUGCCUAAUUUCAAGCUCAGAGUAAAAUUAUGCCUAAAAUAGUGAAGCCCUAUCAGGCAGAGUUUCUUCACGACCCAUUAGACGGGCCGUUUAGGUCUCAAAGUUUCGUUAGCUUUUGAGUCAGGGGAUUUUGGAUCUUUUUUUCAAUUAUUUUAACUCAAUACUACGUCAUUUUACCUUCUACCCAAAGCCCUAUAUAAUGAUUUUUACCCCCAAAAUCACCCAAUUCAAUUUAUUCUUCUAAAAUUCCAAAAGUUGAACAAGUUAAUCCUCUCAAAUAUUUCUCUCUCUAAUGUUUGAAGAAGAAGGCUAGGGUUUCCAGUCUAAUUUCCAAUUUCACCAUUGCUUUCCAUAUUUUGACAUCUAGGUAUGAUAGUUUUCACCUAUGGAUUCCUUUUCUCCAUAGGGUUCCUAAAUCCUCCAUUUUAUAAAGUUAGAUUCCUCAAUCAAGUUAGGGUUUUAUUUAGCUUCCACGGGUUCCUUUCAAUGUUGGUUUAUGUCUUCUUAUGCAUGAAUUGAAUAAAUCACAUGUUUUAAGUUGAAUCCCCCACGAAACCAUGCAGGACCCAUGAUUUCUAGACUUUGAUGAUAUGGUAUGGGUUUUGAACUAUGAAAGAUGAAUUUAUGAAGAUAUUCACGUUCUUUAUGAAAUUGAUAAACAAUGAUUUAAGUUUCUUUGAGAGUAAAGCAUCCAUAUUGUUGUUGUGAAAGGAUUUCUCACAUACACAUGAAAAACAUGAUUGUGAAAGGGUUUUCUCACGUAAAGGGUUCUUAGGGUUGAAAGGUUUUCUCAACUAAACUUUGAAUCAAGAUUUAGGAGCUAUUCUAAUGAAACCUAUCUUGGAUUGGCUACUUGAUGUGCCUUCCAUGGAUGAUAAGGUAAGCGACGAUUACCCAUGCCUCUAUAUGAUAAGAAAAGUUAAGAUAAUGACUAUUCCGUGGGAUUUACACUUAACACCGAGAGGAUAUUGAGAUGGAAGUACUCCUGUAGCUUGAGGUCGGGUUUCUAGUAGCAAUUUCCUUAUCCCAUACCUAUGUUCCCCCAUAGGAUAAAUGUCUUAGAUAGACAUUAGCUAGUGGAUCCACGUAAGCUAGAAGUUCAUGGUCUUACCUUGGGAAGUAGGACACCCUUUUUUGGUGUGGGGAUGUCACCGAAUUCCAUGUUAAUAACUCAAAUGGUCUUAGAUGUUGGUUAAAGGUAAAUUUCCCACAAGAAUGAACUACAGUUACUUCUAGAAGUAUCUCACGAAUGUUUUAAAUAUGUUACCUUGCAUUGUCCAUGUUUUACAAUUUAUGUUUUCUAAGCCUUUUAUCUCCUGAUUUAGCUUGGUCAUUGCAUGUCACGAAAAUGUCCUUUUUAGCAUAAUUUUAUAACUCUAUGCAUUGCUAUCAUACUUCGUACAUUUUUGUACUAACAUGUACUCUUGCCUACAUUCUUAUAAAAAUGUAAGGUCUGACACUCCGAUUUUGCAUCCCCGUGGCUAGAGAUCGCCUUAGUAGAUAUUGAAGAUUGGCGAGUAAUCAUGUUCUGAGGACCAAACUUUUAUUUCUUAUAGUCCCUACUUUUCAGUAUUGUAUGUGAUGUGCGGGUUACAUCCCUAUCACUCUUCAUGUACUAAAUGACUUUGAGACUAUGUUAGACUUCCUCUAUAUUUUAUAAACACUUAUGUUUUGAAAUUGUCUUAUAAACUCUCUAAAUUUUCUAUUAUCUUGUAUGAUGUAUUUCAUGUUAUGCCUAGGCCAUGUUUUGGGUCGUGACAAACUUGGUAUUUAAAGCACAAGGUUUAGAAAGGUCCUAGGAAGUCUCAUAAGUCACGUUAAGUAGAGUCUUGUUCAUGAGUGUGAAGUGCGCCACAUUUAUGAAUGAGAAACUAUAAGAUGUUUAGAAAACUCCACUUCUUUCAUUACUCAAAGUCAUGCGAUAGAGUGUAACUCUAUAUGUCCUUUCUCCUAAUCCUGAUCCGAUGCUUUUCAGGAUAUGGACCCUCGAAGAGAUUACGUUAGGAGGAAGGCGAAUGAGAAUAUGGAACGAGAAGCUUCUCAAGUUCCGGUCGACCCUUUGGCCGAACAAGUGACUAAUGCGGAGUUUGUCCAAGCCAUAACGGCUCAAGCCAAUAGGGAGGUUGUGGUCCCUGUGAACCCAAAUGUGGAUAUGACUACAACUAGAGUGAGAGACUUCACUAGAAUGAAUCCUCUGUAGUUUCAUGGUACUAAGGUUGAGAAAGACCCUCAAGAGUUUAUUGAUGAAAUGUAUAAGGUGUUGAUGAUCAUGGGAGUGACGCCGGUGGAAAAGGCGGAAUUGACCGCUUAUCAACUUAAGGAUGUUGCUCAAAUAUGGUUCAAUCAAUGGAAAGAAGAGAGGGUAGAAUAUACGGGUCCUUGAUUGGAAAAAGUUCAAAGUUGCUUUCCUUGAUAGGUUUUUCCCACUUGAGAUGAUGGAGGCAAAGGUAAUUCAAUUCAUCAACCUUCGUCAAGGAAACAUGAGUGUGAAAGAAUAUGCUUUGAAGUUCACAAAAUUGUCUAAGUAUGCUCCUACUAUGAUUGUCGACCCUAGGGAAAGGAUGAGUAAGUUUGUUUCGGGCAUGUCCGAGAUGGUGGUCAAGGAAUGCCGUACCGCCUUGAUUAUCAAUGAUAUGGACAUUUCUCAUCUUAUGGUUCAUUCUUAACAAAUAGAAGAGAAGAAACUUAAGGGAAGAUCUAGGGAGACAAAGAAGGCAAGGACCGGUGAUGGUAACUUCUCAUAUUCAAGGUCCGAUGUACAUGGUUGAAUGAAGUUUCGACAAAGGUUUUCCAGUCAAAGUUCCUCCAAUGCUCCUCCUAAGUUCAAUAAGGAUAGGGUGUCUAACCCUAAGCCUCAAGGAUGGAAUGGUGGUGGAUCUUCAUUGUCUACUUGUACUAGGUGUGGAAGGAAGCACGAGGGUAUGUGCUUAGCCAACAUUGAUGGUUGCUUUGGCUUUGGUAAAAGUGGGCAUUAAAUAGGGAAUUGUCCAUCGCUUACGUCUAAGGGAAGAAAAGGUAAGAAAGCUUCACCUAGUGGUUCAAGUUUAAGUGCUUCAAAGAAAAACCGAUUAUAUGCACUUUAGACUCGUCAUGAUCAAGAGGGAUCUCCCGACGUUGUUAAUGGUAUGUUGAAAGUCUUCCAACUUAAUUUUUAUGCUUUACUUGACCCUGGUGCUACCUUGCGUUUGGUGACGCCAUAUGUGGCUAUGAUGUUUGAUAUUCUUUUGGAUGUGUUGUUAGAUCCUUUUUCGGUCUCCACUCCAGUUGGUGAUUCCAUUGUGGCUAAGAGAGUCUAUAGUAGGUGUCUCGUCUCCUUAUCCCAUUGAGUCACUCAUGUUGAUUUUGUAGAGCUUGAUAUGUUAGAUUUCGAUGUUAUCCUUGGUAUGAAUUGGCUGCAUUCAUGUUAUGCUUCUAUUGAUUGUAAAACCCGAGUAGUCAAGUUCUUAUUUCCAAAUGAACCCAUCCCAGAGUGGAAAGGGGGAAAUUCUAUGCCUAAGAGUCAUUUUGUUUCUUGUCUUAAAGCUAGAAACAUGAUUUCUAAGGGUUGCAUAUACCAGCUAGUUAGAGUGAGAGAUAUGGAUUCCAAAACCCCUACUCUUGAGUCGGUUCCCAUUAUAAAUGAGUUUCCAGAAGUGUUUCCUGAUGGUAGAAUAAGAGAUCUUGAAUUCAAUGUGAAUGAUUGGUUCUACUUGAAAAUUUCACUCGUGAAGGGUGUAAUGAGAUUUGGAAAGAAAGGAAACCUUAGUCCCCGUUAUGUGGGCCCAUAUCAGAUUUUGAGGUGUGUUUGUAAGCUUGCUUAUGAACCUAAUUUACCUAAUGAUUUGGCAUCAGUUCAUCCGUUUUUUCAUGUCUCCUUAUUGAAGAAAUGUGUUGGAGAUCCGACAUCUAUAAUUCCCUUAGAAGGUUUGGGAGUUAAGGAGAAUUUUUCAUAUGAGGAAGUUCUAGUUGAGAUUUUAGACCGACAGGUUAAGAAGUUAAGAAACAAAGAAGUUGCUUCCGUAAAGGUUCUAUGGAGAAAUUAGUUAGUUGAGGGUGCUACUUGGGAGGACGAGGCCGAUAUGAUGUCCCGUUAUCCUCAUCUCUUUCCCUUAGUCCCCACUCUAGCAUGAGGUAUCCAGUUCCUCAUGGUUUACUCUUUUGGUUUCAUUUGUCUUAGAUAUUCCAAUGAUUCCUCAUUUAUGCAUGUUCAUGAAAAUAUUUGAUUUUGUGGAAAUGAGUUAAUUUGAUUGAUUUCUCCAUGUUUAUGUGUAUUUUAGUAUGAGUUGCAUAUGGACUUCAUGAUAUAAUGUUUUGAACAUGUUUUAGCUUGGAGUUGAUGUUUCCUCUUCGGAUAUGUGCAUUUAUGUGAUUGCAUUUCAUGUUAGGCUGUUAGGUUAAGUUCCUACCCUCCUUAUGAUGUCUUGAAUCUCAUUCAAGGAUGAAUUUUCCCAAGGUGGAGAUAAUGUAACAACUCAGAUUUGAGAAUGGCUAGAAAAGGGUCAAACAGGCAAGUCACAAGCCCAAAUGUGGACCAUUGAACCCUCCACAGGGCUCUAGAUAGGCUAUGAAGGGGACCACAGUCAGUUAAUUAGCUCAUGAUGUCUCCCAGAACCUGCCCCAAGAAGGCUUCACCUUGACGGAUGCCCAGACGGCCCAUGGUAAUAUUGAUGGGUCAUCAAAGGGGUAGUCAAGUGGGUCAAAUCAGAAAGGGUUCUCCCCUCGUCAUUAGUCAAGGACCACAGACGUCUAAACGUCCCGUGAAGCCCCACAUAGACUGUGAAGUUGUCCGUGAAGGGGGUUCGUUAGACUUAGAGUUUAGGGUCAACUUCAGACGAUCAAAUAUUUUAGCACAAAAUGAAUUAGGUGGACCAUGACCUACAAAAUUGAAGACCUCUGAGUCCUCUUUCCAACGCCACUAAGUUUGCCUAAUUGCAAGGUCGGAUUAAAACGUUAUGCCCGAAUUAGUGAAGCCCUGUCAGGCAAAGUUUCUUCACGACCCGUUAGACGGGCCAUUUAGGCCUCCUUGAAAUUAUUUCGUCAGCUUUUAAGUCAGGGGUUUUUGGGUCUUUUCCCAAUUAUUUUAACUUAAUACUACGUCGUUUUACCUUCUACCCAAAGCCUUAUAUAAUGAUUUUUUACCCCAAAAUCACCCAAUUCAAUUCAUUCUUCUAAAAUUCCAAAAGUUAAACAAGUUCAUCCUCUCAAAUAUUUCUCUCUCUAAAGUUUGAAGAAGAAGGCAAGGGUUUCAAGUCAAGUCUCCAAUUUCACCAUUGAUUUCACGAUUUUGGCAUCAAAGUAUGAUAGUAUUAACUUAUGCAGUCCUUUCCUACAUAAGGUUCCUAAAUUCUCCAAUUUUGUAAAGUUAGAUUUCCCAAUCAAGUUAGGGUUUUAUUUAAUUGUCAUGGGUUCCUUUUAAUAAACUCUUAUGCUUUGAAAUUGUCUGUUAAACUCUCUAAAUUUUGUAUUAUCUUGUAGGAUGUAUGCUAAGUGGCUUGUGUAGAGCCUCUCGGGGUCCUAUACGCCAUGUUACGCCUAGGCCAUGUUUGGGGUCAUGACAUUCUCCAUCGCCUUAGAAAAGAAAAUCCCACCAAAGAAAAAGAAAAGGCACCAAAGUAGAACAACGUGUGUUUCUUUAUCAAAUUUGAAGAUUGCAUAAUGAAAUUGAGGGGCAGUUUAAUCAUUUUGUUGCCUUAUCCAAGUCUUACUAAAACUUGGUAGUAGUAAUCCCUAGGUAUCCUUGGUAUUAGGUAAGACCACAUAUGGUGUAUUAAGGUAUCCAUGUAUUAAGUGUGUUUGAAUGGAAUUGUGCAACCAAACAUUGUAUUGGAUCAACUAAAUUUUAAUCCAAGGACUAUUUUAAAUAAUACAUCCUACAUUUGACUCCUACGUAUUCAGAUUCCAGGUUCGAAUUUAUUUUUAAAAUAUGAAUUAAAAUGCUCUUAGGCACUAUUCCUAAGAUAUUUCUCUCUCCUACUUCUUAGGAAUGCAAACACCUUUUCUGGUGGUUCUAGUCUAAAAUUAAACACUUUUCUUAUGAACCCAUUCUUCUUCUUUUCAGAUCCGAUUAGACAGUUUCUACACAAAGAUGGGGUACAAUAGGAUUUUCUUCAAUACAGGUUUUAAGUCUAUUGACAUCAAAAGUAGACAUUUGAUAGUGCUAUCAAGUAUGAUGGAUGGAAAAAGUCGUAAUAUGAUGAGAAGAUCAAACAAUUGGUAUGCUUUUUGAUGUGGAGAAUUUGGCAUAAGAAAAUAUCGAUUGGUGAACUUUUGAUGAGCUUGAGAAUUUCAGAUUUCGUACAUUGUUGUUGUAAUAAUAGUGUAAAUGAAUCUUUUGAUCAUUUAUUCAUCAAUUGUACUAUGUCUUCUAGUGUGUGGAAGUUUUUUGCAAAGGUUGUUGGGAUUCAUGGAGCAUUUGUAUAGCUCAAGCAUGUGAUUGAAUUAUGGUGGAAGGUAGAGUGUGUAGCUAAGCUUAAACCUUUAUUCAAAGUCAUGCCUUCCGUCAUCAUUUGACAUAUAUGGAAGAUGAAAAACUUGAUUAAACAUGGGAACAAUGUCUAAAAUGGCCAUGAUUUUGAGCAUCAAUAGGCAGUUGGUGUGGUUUGCUAAGCUAAGAUAUCCAUGGAUGGUUGACAUUUCUAGUUCUAGGGCUGAAUUGAUCAGAUAUCUAGAGGAAUAUACUCUAGUAAAUUUGUAGUGUUGAAAGCUCCUAAUAGAAAUUGUUUUAAGUGCAAUACAGAUGGUGCUAGUAGAGGUAACCCAAGACCUACCUCUCUAGAUUUCUGUAUCAAGAAUUGGGAAGUAGAUCUACUGUAUGUUGCUGAAGGAUUGUGGAGUCAUUGAAAUAGAAAUUAAGGCUAUUAAGAAUGGUUUAGAAUAUUAUUUAUCUAAUGGACUAAUACCUAUAUCCAUUGAAACUGAUUCCUUAAUAGCUAAGAAGAUUUUGGAUGGGAUUUUUGGGAAGUUCCUUGGUUGAUCUAAGUUGAUGUAAGGGUAUCAAAGACAUAAUGAUCAAUGAUCUGGAUGAGAUUGUUUACAUAUACAGAGGAGGAAUCAACUUGCUGAUUUUUUUCACUAACCAUGAUUUUAGUUUUCCAUGUACUACUACUAUCAGAUAGUUUCAUCAUAUACAAGAACUCCUACAAAACACAAAGGAAAUUCUAUUACUGGAAUAACACAAGUGCCCUAAUUUGAGAAUCAGGAAAUUUCAAAAUAGGGCUUCUAAUCAUGGAAAAAUAGUCACCAAUUAAUUUUGUUACAGUAAUUACAAGGAUAUAGCAGAAUCAAUAACACAUUCAGGAGCUAAGAACAAUCACAACGGUUUCAGGUUCUAUAAAUGUUUGUGAUAAUAGAGAUGAGCUUUUAUCUAACAGUAACAGUCGAUAACAUUGUGGUGAGUUGAUACCUUGAAUCCUAGAUCUGUUGCAGUGGUAUUAGCUUGUUGUAUUUCAUUCUGUAGAGGUUGAAGACUCAAGGUGUAUGAACUCAUCUAUGGCUCACUUGUUUUCGAUUGGAUCUGGG